rnacentral:rRNA from 1 species
CACACCGCCCGUCACACCAUGGGAGUUGGAUUGACCCGAAGACAGUGGCUAACCGCAAGGAGGCAGCUGGCCACGGUCGGUUCAGCGACUGGGGUG